rnacentral:rRNA from 1 species
CCUACGGGGGGCAGCAGUGAGGAAUAUUGGUCAAUGGCCGAGAGGCUGAACCAGCCAAGUCGCGUGAGGGAAGACGGCCCUACGGGUUGUAAACCUCUUUUGUCGGGGAGCAAAGAGAGUCACGUGUGACUCAUUGAGAGUACCCGCAGAAGAAGCACCGGCUAACUCCGUGCCAGCAGCCGCGGUAAUACGGAGGGUGCAAGCGUUAAUCGGAAUUACUGGGCGUAAAGCGCACGCAGGCGGUUUGUUAAGUCAGAUGUGAAAUCCCCGGGCUCAACCUGGGCACUGCAUCUGAUACCGGCAAG